GAUCAAAUCAAGCGCGAGAAGGGCGUUUGGUGGAUGCCUUGGCAGUAAGAGGCGAUGAAGGACGUGAUACUCUGCGAUAAGUCAUGGGGAGCUGAGAAUAGGCUUUGAUCCAUGAAUUUCCGAAUGGGGCAACCCACCUGACAGUUCACUAUAAUAGCUUCGGCUAUUUAUAGGGUUCUGAAACAGGUACUUAAGGACUGAAUACAUAGGUCUUUAAGAGCAAACCCGGAGAACUGAAACAUCUAAGUACCCGGAGGAAAGGACAUCAAUUGAUACUCCCCUAGUAGCGGCGAGCGAACGGGGACCAGCCAAGCCUUGAGAGUGACUAGAACAUGUUGGGAAGCAUGGCCAUAGCGGGUGACAGCCCCGUAUAGGAAGCUCGAUAGGAUGUAUUAAGUAGGGCGGGACACGUGAAAUCCUGUCUGAAGAUCGGAGGACCACCUUCGAAGGCUAAGUACUCCUUACUGACCGAUAGCGAACCAGUACCGUGAGGGAAAGGUGAAAAGCACCCCGACUAGGGGAGUGAAACAGUACCUGAAACCGAACGCCUACAAUCAGUCGGAGCUUGACUGGACUCUAAUGACAAUCUGCGUCACACAUGGAAAAAACUCCAUGGAGAUCGGGACAUGUCAGACAUUGCUUUCAUUACGGAUGGUACCGCUGCGGUGGUCGGUUUGGCCCUUGGCCUGCUGAACAUGGCAGUCAAUCACUGUCCCAACGAAGGUUGCCUGGCAAAGAACGAUGUGGUGCCGUUUACCAGCAUUUCCGCUGGCGAGGUUUACUUCCAGGAAAACGCCGUUGGCGAGGAAGUGUUCGUUCGCCGGCAGACAUCCACGGCACGCGGCCCGUUCCAAUUCACCUACGGUGGGUCCAUCACGGAUGAUGGCGGCCUGUGGGUGGGUCUCGGAAACACCACGACAUACACGACGCCGAACGAACGGUGGUACGCUCAGUUCCACUCGAUGCCCGGGCUUUACGCCGAGGGUAGCGAUGUCGAUCUGGGUGGCCCGAUCAUCUUUCGAUCGGGUGUCGAAUUCGGGUAUCAGGCACGCAACGGCGUGCGCAUGAGCCUGAGUUUCGAUCAUCGGUCGAACGCUGGGAUCUACAGCGAUAACCCGGGCCUUGAAACGGUUCAGUUCCGGGUCUCGAUCCCGACAAAAUAACCGGAAACGGUUGUCAUUAGUGUCCAGUCUUGUGACGGCGUACCUUUUGUAUAAUGGGUCAUCGACUUGGUCUAUCUAGCAAGCUUAAGCCGUUAGGUGUAGGCGCAGCGAAAGCGAGUCUUAAUAGGGCGUCGAGUUAGAUGGAUCAGACCCGAAACCGAGUGAUCUAGGCAUGACCAGGCUGAAGGUAAGGUAACACUUACUGGAGGGCCGAACCCACAUCUGUUGAAAAAGAUCGGGAUGAGUUGUGCCUAGGGGUGAAAGGCCAAUCAAACUCGGAGAUAGCUGGUUCUCUGCGAAAUCUAUUUAGGUAGAGCGUCAUCCGAAUACCCUCGGGGGUAGAGCACUGGAUGGGUAAUGGGGCCCCACAGGCUUACUGAUCCUAACCAAACUCCGAAUACCGAGGAGUACUAGAUGGCAGACACACUGCGGGUGCUAACGCCCGUAGUGGAGAGGGAAACAACCCUGACCUCCGGCUAAGGCCCCCAAUUCAUGGCUAAGUGGGAAAGCAGGUGAGACGACCAAAACAACCAGGAGGUUGGCUUAGAAGCAGCCAUCCUUUAAAGAUAGCGUAACAGCUCACUGGUCUAAAUAAGUUGUCUUGCGGCGAAGAUGUAACGGGGCUCAAGCCAUGAGCCGAAGCCGAGGAGUGCGUAUGCACUGGUAGCAGAGCGUAGUGUGACAUAGUCUCAUUCCUCCUUAGCGGGUUCGCCCGCAUUGGAGGAGAGAGGCUUUCGAUGAAGCGGGCGCGUGAGCGAUCCCGUGGAGAGAUCACUAGUGAGAAUGAUGACAUGAGUAGCGACAAAGAGUGUGAGAGACACUCUCGCCGAAAGUCCAAGGGUUCCUGCUUAAAGCUAAUCUGAGCAGGGUAAGCCGACCCCUAAGGCGAGGCCGAAAGGCGUAGUCGAUGGGAAUCAGGUUAAUAUUCCUGAGCCAGAUGGAAGUGACGGAUUGCGAGGGUUGUUCAUCCUUAUCGGAUUGGAUGGGCAGCUUAGCAGUCCCUGGAAAUAGCUCCAUCAUAAGAUCGUACCCUAAACCAACACAGGUGGACUGGUAGAGAAUACCAAGGCGCUUGAGAGAACGAUGUUGAAGGAACUCGGCAAAAUACCUCCGUAAGUUCGCGAGAAGGAGGCCCGGGUUUCAGGCAACUGAAGUCCGGGGGCACAAACCAGGGGGUGGCGACUGUUUACUAAAAACACAGGGCUCUGCGAAGUCGCAAGACGACGUAUAGGGUCUGACGCCUGCCCGGUGCCUGAAGGUUAAAAGGAGAUGUGAGAGCGUCGAAUUGAAGCCCAGGUAAACGGCGGCCGUAACUAUAACGGUCCUAAGGUAGCGAAAUUCCUUGUCGGGUAAGUUCCGACCUGCACGAAUGGCGUAACGACUUCCCCGCUGUCUCCAACAUCGACUCAGCGAAAUUGAAUUGCCUGUCAAGAUGCAGGCUUCCCGCGGUUAGACGGAAAGACCCCGUGCACCUUUACUACAGCUUCGCACUGGCAUCAGGACUGCAUUGUGCAGGAUAGGUGGUAGGCUUUGAAACCGUGACGCCAGUCGCGGUGGAGCCAUCCUUGAGAUACCACCCUAUGCAUUCUUGAUGUCUAACCGCGGCCCGUUAUCCGGGUCCGGGACCCUGCGUGGCGGGUAGUUUGACUGGGGCGGUCGCCUCCUAAAGCGUAACGGAGGCGCGCGAAGGUUGGCUCAGAGCGGUCGGAAAUCGCUCGUUGAGUGCAAUGGCAUAAGCCAGCCUGACUGCGAGACUGACAAGUCGAGCAGAGUCGAAAGACGGCCAUAGUGAUCCGGUGGUCCCAAGUGGGAGGGCCAUCGCUCAACGGAUAAAAGGUACGCCGGGGAUAACAGGCUGAUACUGCCCAAGAGUCCAUAUCGACGGCAGUGUUUGGCACCUCGAUGUCGGCUCAUCUCAUCCUGGGGCUGGAGCAGGUCCCAAGGGUACGGCUGUUCGCCGUUUAAAGAGGUACGUGAGCUGGGUUUAGAACGUCGUGAGACAGUUCGGUCCCUAUCUGCCGUGGGUGUAGGAUACUUGAGAGGAGUUGCCCCUAGUACGAGAGGACCGGGGUGAACGUUCCACUGGUGGACCAGUUGUCGUGCCAACGGCAGUGCUGGGUAGCUAUGAACGGACAGGAUAACCGCUGAAGGCAUCUAAGCGGGAAGCCCCCCUCAAAACAAGGUAUCCCUGAGGACCGUGGUAGACCACCACGUCGAUAGGCCGGAGAUGUAAGCGCAGCAAUGCGUUCAGUUGACCGGUACUAAUUGUCCGAUAGGCUUGAUUUGAUCCAG
rnacentral:rRNA from 1 species